GACGAACGCUGGCGGCGUGCUUAACACAUGCAAGUCGAACGAAGAGCGAUGGAAGCUUGCUUCUAUCACUCUUAGUGGCGAACGGGUGAGUAACGCGUAAUCAACCUGCCCUUCAGAGGGGGACAACAGUUGGAAACGACUGCUAAUACCGCAUACGAUCUAAUCUCGGCAUCGAGGAUAGAUGAAAGGUGGCCUCUACAUGUAAGCUAUCACUGAAGGAGGGGAUUGCGUCUGAUUAGCUAGUUGGAGGGGUAACGGCCCACCAAGGCGAUGAUCAGUAGCCGGUCUGAGAGGAUGAACGGCCACAUUGGGACUGAGACACGGCCCAGACUCCUACGGGAGGCAGCAGUGGGGAAUCUUCCGCAAUGGACGAAAGUCUGACGGAGCAACGCCGCGUGAGUGAUGACGGCCUUCGGGUCGUAAAGCUCUGUUAAUCGGGACGAAAGGCCUUCUUGCGAAUAGUGAGAAGGAUUGACGGUACCGGAAUAGAAAGCCACGGCUAACUACGUG
rnacentral:rRNA from 1 species